AGAUGCCUUCCACUUCUUCCAUCUGCCCUGUCUCUCCAAGAACCCCUAUGGCCCCGGUCUCAGAACAGAGCUGAGUGCAGAAAUGAAAAUCUAUGGCUCUGUGUUCCAAAACGAUGAAGAAUUUCAAGAUGGUGGCAGUGGUAAAAUCUUUCUCCAGGAAAAAUCUGUCCUUGGCCCAAUGUGUAAACACUUGCUGAGGAACUUGGAAUAACUUGCAGUGUCUUGCAGUAUUGUGAAACCAGCAACUUGUUCACAAUUCUUCUGAAUUUCUUGGGAAAUUUGAAGUGGAGUACCUGUACCAACAUGAAAUGACACGAAUUUAAGUGACGCUCAACAACGAAAAGCAAAAAGAACCAAAGAGGAAGCAACUGAAACAACAUCUGGAUGUAUUUAAAAAUAUACAAUGCCUCCAAAAUCAGGUGUCAUUAAUGAAAAUUCUGAAGAAAUGCCACCGGACAUAGCCAACGCACCUACGCUGUUGUUAUUCAUUUCCUGCUUUUCACAGAAAACAAUUUUGUUGCAUGGAAGAUCGGUGAGUUAAAAAAAGACCUGCCCUGGGUGUCAAGCACAGUAGUUACACCGCUGGUU
rnacentral:lncRNA from 10 species